GCUAGCGCGGGGACAGCAGGCGGGGUAAUACGGGGGGUGGAAGCGUUGUUCGGAAUUACUGGGCGUAAAGCGGUUGUAGGCGGUCGUUUAAGUCUGGUGUGAAAGCCCGGGGCUUACCCCCGGAAGUGCACUGGAAACUGGGAGACUGGAGUACCGGAGAGGAGGGUGGAAUUCCUGGUGUAGCGGUGAAAUGCGUAGAUAUCAGGAGGAACACCGGUGGCGAAGGCGGCCCUCUGGACGGAUACUGACGCUGAGACGCGAAAGCGUGGGGAGCAAACAGGAUUAGAUACCCUGGUAGUC
rnacentral:rRNA from 1 species